rnacentral:lncRNA from 1 species
GUCUAGAGUUCUGAAGGUAGCAGUCAACUUAGAUAUCUACAUCCAGAAAAAAGUAUCUUUCAAGAAUGAGAGCGAAGAAGUCAUUUUCAGGAAAAAUCUAAAAAUAAAAGGAAGAAAUAUGCUACAAUUGGAUCACCUUAAAAGUCAUUCUGAAAGGUAGAUAAACUUCAGGAAGCUAGUCUGACAAAGGAAGGGAUGAUGAGCAGUCCAAGAUGAGGAGGUCAUGUUGGAGGAUCUUCUCUUCCUUCUCUCUAUUCUGCAAAACUUAGUGAAAAAUGGACUUUGCAAUCAACUCCACUGAUAAGGAGAAAACACAGAAGGGGAAUAGGAUCAAGAUACAGAUGUGACUGACCCAAGGUAUAGUCUGGCCCUUUCUUCAAGCUAGCACUUGAAGUGGCUGCUGGGGAAGAAGAGACAACCUGCAAGCUGUGUAACCUUAUGAGCUCAAACGUCUCUUUCCAACAUGGGAACUGCAGUGUCAGCACUAGAAGCACCGCAUAACAUGGGCCCAUCAGUUCCUGCUCAAUGCAGACAGUAACCAGAGAGAGAAACCCACUCGAGCCUCCUGAGCUGAAAACAGGACAACAGGACUGGACGCAGAUCUGCCUCCCUGGUCCUCUCUCUGCCCACAGAGUGAUUGGAAUGCAGAACCAAUGGGAGCAGCAUGAAGCACUGUUACAGCACAUCUACAAAGCUACAUGCCAUCGGGAAUUAAAGCAGACUCUUGUGUUUUGUCAGCUUUAGCCAAAUAAUGUGAGCUUGCAGAGCCGUGGCCUCCCAACAGCACAAGGCCCAGAGGAAAUGGCCCAGAACAGAGGCCAACAUCCAUUAAGGGCGUCCACAGGGACAGCCAGAGUGCGUCUCCCCAUCUCCCCAGGCAGAUGGUCACACUGGCGGUUGAGCCAGUGUCUGCCCAGUGGAAGGAGGAAAGACAGAGCACGGUGGUAGCUGCCAAGCGCUGGAAUGAGCAGCAGCCACUGGGGAAUGGACUGAAGCAGAGACUUCAUGCUGCAGGGAAGAAAGUUCAGCUUAGAAGAGAGUACCCUGUGCACUGCUCCUCAGGAUGCUCCUCUUGACUCUCCUCCUCCAUCAGUCUCCUGACCACAGUCCUAUUCUAGUCCUUGGGGUCUUCCCCGCAUGGUGACCUUAAAGCAACGACACCAAAGUCCCCUCUGAUCCCACCAAAGCCACCCUAAUUCCUAAAAUCCCUAGGGCCCCUGUAGGCUCAAACCACACCCUCCACUCACCUGUUUCAAUAUGUCUCCCCAGCUGUACCCAACACUCUCUCCUGGCUCCACUGUUUCUUCACAGCCUGCCAUCCACGCACCAGCAAGCCAAGACAAGAGAUCUCCUCCCUGGACUACACUAAAAUGAUUCUCUGGCUUUUACUCUUGGACAGCUAGCUUCCUGCUCUCCUUUUUGCUGCCUGCCCACUCCAGAAGGCUGCCUGCCAGCCUUCUAGAUAUCUGACUCAGCCACUGGCUCAGCUCAGAUCAGCCUUGCUGUUCAUCCACCCCUAGUCCCAGCUUGAGGUGGGCUAGACAUUUGAUUCAAGAACCCCUUUGAUUUCGAUAUCUCUGUAGCCUCAAGGAAGAUACUCAAGCACCAGAACCCUGCUGAGCACUAGAGGAGCCUCCCUGGGGCAGUCAUCCCAGCUUCCUUCCUGAGAAGGGGGAUUCAGACAGUCCUGAUAACUCCUUUCCCUCUGCACUACUGUCCACGCUAUUCCUGUGCCUAAAACAACAUUGACAGGUCUCUGUGCUCUGUCACCAGUACUGCAACACCAAAGAAGUACCUCAGCCAGGCACCCAGCUUCUGAUCCCAGGGAGCAUUCUAUUCUCUCUCACUUGAUCACGUCCACCUCACAUGAGGGCCUGCCAUACUGCUGCAGGUUUGUGUGCAUCCCACUUCCUCUACCCAAAAGCACAAUCAUUAUGGCACACACCGUCCCCACCUUUAUGUGUCCUUCAAAAUCGAGUAAAAUACCUUGGUAGGUACCUUGGGCCUGAGUAAAUUUUACUGAGUUGAGUCAUGACCCAUUUGAUGUAUGUUGGAGAGAAACAAUAUGGGACAGCUCUGCAGGCCACUGGGUGGUGCCCCUUCCUCUGGGAAACCCAACCCCUCCCUCCAGUGCUUCAUUUGAGGUCGUGGUAAAAAUUAGUUUCCAAACCAAACCACAGGUCGGUCUCCACUCCUUCUGUGAUGACGCAGGUGUGGUGCAAACCACACCAACUCAGUGCUCCUCACAUAUCCCUUUGUGUGUUUCUGCCUUUGAUUUAUGCAAAUGAAUUUUGCUCCCCAAAUACAAGUUCCUCACCAGGAAGGCCCUAACGUUGAUUACUAUAUUUAUAUUUUAUCAAUAUUUGGGAUUCAAUUUUUGAUAUAUGUUUUCAAGGCAUCUCUAUCUGAAUGAGCCAUCGCAGAAGCAACAGAACUCUGCCUGAAAGCAAAAGGGCCAGCAGGAAAAAAGGAAAAGUCAUCUGUGUCUAGUGUUUUCUGUGUGUCAGGCACUCAGUGCUCCAGACUAUUAAUCCAUUUCAUUUCCAGUCAACUUCAUGGAGUAGCUGUAAUUAUCAUCCCCAAUUUGCAAAUGAGGAAACUAAGACAGGGAGAGCUUAAAUAACUUCACACAAAGUCAAGUCAGCACCCACAUUCUCAGCCACUUUCGACUGUUUACUGCCCAAGUUAUCAGCUGUGUUCUGGGCUCUGAGCUGGCACAGCAAGGAUGGGGUGCCAGGAGGGCUCCUCUCUGCCUCUCCAAGGAAUCCUAACUUCCCCAGGAAGUGAGGAGUGGAAGGUUCUGCAUCUCUAACUUUCUCUUCUACCUGUGUAGGGAAUUUUUAACCUCCUUGUUAGUGAUCAGCCAGGGAAAGAUGUAAAAUGCUGCUCAUUGUGCUUGCUGAACUCAAGGUACCAAAGGGUGACUCAGCAAAGCUGAGAGUCAAGAGCCAUUUCUUUCCUGGUUACUUAGAAUCCUAUGUGCAAACUAUAGAGUCUCAUGAAAAACUAAGCCUCUUUCUAACAGCCAGCUCUAGCUUGCCAGCCAUGUGAGUGGCUUCCUUGGGAGUUGAUGCCCUAGCCUCAGUCAAGCCUUUAGAUGAUCCAUCCUCAAAUAACAGCCUGACUGAAACCCCAUGGGAGUUCCUGAGCUGGAAGCACCCAGCCAAGCCCCACCUGGAUCCUGACCCCGAGAAACUGUGUGAGUUAAAUGUUUGCUGUUUAAGCUGCUAAAUUUGAGGAUAAUUUGUUAGACUAAAGUCAAUAACUAGUAAGAUUAUGCAUUUGCAUAUAUUAUCUCUUGUAUUAGGUUUUAGAUUCCUUGAAACGAUGAUUCAGUAUAUCAUGUUGUAUCUAGCACAGUGCCUAAAACCUGAUUAAGUCCUCCAGAAAUGUUCUUUGCA